rnacentral:rRNA from 1 species
GUGGGGAAUAUUGGACAAUGGGCGAAAGCCUGAUCCAGCCAUGCCGCGUGUGUGAAGAAGGUCUUCGGAUUGUAAAGCACUUUAAGUUGGGAGGAAGGGCAGUAAGUUAAUAUCUUGCUGUUUUGACGUUACCGACAGAAUAAGCACCGGCUAACUUCGUGCCAGCAGCCGCGGUAAUACGAAGGGUGCAAGCGUUAAUAGGAAUUACUGGGCGUAAAGCGCGCGUAGGUGGUUUUGUAAGUUGGAGGUGAAAUCCCCGGGCUCAACCUGGGAACUGCCUCCAAAACUGCAUGACUAGAGUACGGUAGAGGGUAGUGGAAUUUCCUGUGUAGCGGUGAAAUGCGUAGAUAUAGGAAGGAACACCAGUGGCGAAGGCGACUACCUGGACUGAUACUGACACUGAGGUGCGAAAGCGUGGGGAGCAAACAGGAUUAGAUACCCCUGUAGUCC